rnacentral:rRNA from 1 species
AUUGAACGCUGGCGGCAGGCCUAACACAUGCAAGUCGAACGGUAACAGGAAGAAGCUUGCUUCUUUGCUGACGAGUGGCGGACGGGUGAGUAAUGUCUGGGAUACUGCCUGCUGGAGGGGGAUAACUCCUGGAAACGGUAGCUAAUACCGCAUAACGUCGCAAGCCCAAAGAGGGGGACCUUCGGGCCUCUUGCCAUCGGAUGUGCCCAGAUGGGAUUAGCUAGUAGGUGGGGUAACGGCUCACCUAGGCCACGAUCCCUAGCUGGUCUGAGAGGAUGACCAGCCACACUGGAACUGAGACACGGUCCAGACUCCUACGGGAGGCAGCAGUGGGGAAUAUUGCACAAUGGGCGGAAGCCUGAUGCAGCCAUGCCGCGUGGAUGAAGAAGGCCUUCGGGUUGUAAAGUACUUUCAGCGGGGAGGAAGGGAGUAAAGUUAAUACCUGUGCUCAUUGACGUUACCCGCAGAAGAAGCACCGGCUAACUACGUG